UAUAUUCCAUCAAGUAUACUUUGAACCUAUUUAAUUUAGGCGUAGUUUUAUUACAGUAUUAUUGUUUUGGAUUUGUUGGGCUGUUUUUAUUAUGUAUUGUAAUAUAUUUUGUAAUGAGAUGUUAGCGUUUCAUGAUUAAAGUAUUUAACAGUAACUGACAAUAUUUUUUUAAAAAUAUUUUACAGUGUCGGUGUUGAGCAUUAAUAAUGGUGAGGCGAUCGUCUAAUCAUAGUAUAUAAGGAGCCUCCAAAAAACGCCUAGUCCUUCAGGAGCGAGGAUGGGUCGAAGCUCGCCAAUCCGCCCACAAUUUGAGAACAAAAUUCGCCAACAACAAAUCGGUAGGAUUUUUGCCAUUUCACCUUCUACAGUUCACAAUAUUAUUAAAACAUUCAAGGAAUCCGGUCAAAUGUCUCUGUGUAAAGGGCGAGGCCGAAAACCUCUUCUGAAUGCGCAUGAUCUCCGAUCCCUCAGACGUCACUGUCUUAAAAACAGUCAUGAGCCUGUAAUGGAGAUCCUGACAUGGGCUCGGGAAUACUUUGGUAAACCUUUGUUCAUCAAAACACCAUUCACUGCUUUACUAUGCAAAGCAGAAGCCGUACAUCAACACUGUCCAGAAGCUCCACCCACUUCUCUGGGCUCGGUCUCAUCUGAGAUGGACAGUAGCACAGUGGAAUCGUGUUUUGUGGUCCGACAAGUGAACAUUUCAAAUAGUUUUUGGACAAAACAGCCGUUGUGUUCUCCGGGCCAAAGAGGAAAAGGACCGUCCAAGCUGUUAUCAGUGUCAGGUCCAAAAGCCAGCGUCUGUCAUGGUAUGGGGGCGUGUCAGUGCCCAUGGUAUGGGGAUGUGUCAGUGCCCAUAGCAUGGGUAACUCACACAUCUGUGAGGGCAACAGUAAUGCAGAAAGAUAUGUACACAUUUUGGAGCAACAUCUGCUGCCAUCCAGAGCAGGACAACGCCACACCACAUUCUGCCCGGAUUACAAGCGCAUAGUUGCGUAAGCACAGAGUGCGGGUGCGAGCAUGGCCUGCUGCAGUACUGACCUGUCUCCGAAUUGAGAAUGUGUAUUGCAUUAUGAAGUCUAAAAUAAUGCAACGAAGGCCCUGUACAGUUGCGCAGCUGAAGAAAUGCAUAAUGGAUGAUUGGCGUGCACUUCUGCUUGCUAAACUUAACCAAAUGGAGUCUUCACUCAGCGUCCAAACCCUUAAUAAGUGUUAUUAAAAGAAAAUGUGACGUACAGUGAGAAAAAGUCGACUGUCCCAACUUUUUUGUUUAAAUCAUCAGAAUUGAAAUGUGUAUAUUUUCAAAAAUAAAUUAAAUUCAUAAAGUAAAACACCAAAUAAUGUGUUAAUAAUGUGAUUUCAAUAUAGUACAGGGUGAAUUGAAUUUUCAAAUUUUUUUUUUUUUUUUUUUUUUUUUUUUUUUUGCAUUUUCCAUACGGUCCCAACUUUUUUUGGAAUUGGGGUUGUGUAUAUAUAAAUAAAUAAAUAUAUGUAUGGUGUUUUAUUUGUCUUUUCUGGUGUUUUUGCUUGUUUGUUUGUUUGUUUGUUUGUUUUUGUAG
ensembl:lncRNA